CAAUAGCGUAUAUUAAAGUUGUUGCAGUUAAAAAGCUCGUAGUUGGAUUUCUGGUGGGAGCGAUCGGUCUGGCGCUUAGCGCGAGUACUUGCAUCGUCUCCGGCCAUCCUUGGGGAGAGUCUGUCUGGCAUUAAGUUGUCGGGCAGAGGAUCCUCAUCGUUUACUGUGAAAAAAUUAGAGUGUUCAAAGCAGGCUUAUGCCGUUGAAUAUAUUAGCAUGGAAUAAUAAGAUAGGACGUUGGUACUAUUUUGUUGGUUUGCGCACCAAAGUAAUGAUUAAUAGGGACAGUUGGGGGUAUUCGUAUUCCGUUGUCAGAGGUGAAAUUCUUGGAUUUACGGAAGACGAACUACUGCGAAAGCAUUUACCAAGGAUGUUUUCAUUAA
rnacentral:rRNA from 1 species